GACGAACGCUGGCGGCGUGCUUAACACAUGCAAGUCGAACGGAAAGGCCCUGCUUUUGUGGGGUGCUCGAGUGGCGAACAGGUGAGUAACACGUGAGUAACCUGCCCUUGACUUUGGGAUAACUUCAGGAAACUGGGGCCAAUACCGGAUAGGAGCUCCUGCUGCAUGGUGGGGGUUGGAAAGUUUCGGCGGUUGGGGAUGGACUCGCGGCUUAUCAGCUUGUUGGUGGGGUAGUGGCUUACCAAGGCUUUGACGGGUAGCCGGCCUGAGAGGGUGACCGGCCACAUUGGGACUGAGAUACGGCCCAGACUCCUACGGGAGGCAGCAGUGGGGAAUAUUGCACAAUGGGCGGAAGCCUGAUGCAGCAACGCCGCGUGCGGGAUGACGGCCUUCGGGUUGUAAACCGCUUUCGCCUGUGACGAAGCGUGAGUGACGGUAAUGGGUAAAGAAGCACCGGCUAACUACGUGCCAGCAGCCGCGGUGAUACGUAGGGUGCGAGCGUUGUCCGGAUUUAUUGGGCGUAAAGGGCUCGUAGGUGGUUGAUCGCGUCGGAAGUGUAAUCUUGGGGCUUAACCCUGAGCGUGCUUUCGAUACGGGUUGACUUGAGGAAGGUAGGGGAGAAUGGAAUUCCUGGUGGAGCGGUGGGAUGCGCAGAUAUCAGGAGGAACACCAGUGGCGAAGGCGGUUCUCUGGGCCUUUCCUGACGCUGAGGAGCGAAAGCGUGGGGAGCGAACAGGCUUAGAUACCCUGGUAGUCCACGCUGUAAACGGUGGGUACUAGGUGUGGGGUCCAUUCCACGGGUUCCGUGCCGUAGCUAACGCUUUAAGUACCCCGCCUGGGGAGUACGGCCGCAAGGCUAAAACUCAAAGGAAUUGACGGGGCCCCGCACAAGCGGCGGAGCAUGCGGAUUAAUUCGAUGCAACGCGUAGAACCUUACCUGGGUUUGACAUGGAUCGGGAGUGCUCAGAGAUGGGUGUGCCUCUUUUGGGGUCGGUUCACAGGUGGUGCAUGGCUGCCGUCAGCUCGUGUCGUGAGAUGUUGGGUUAAGUCCCGCAACGAGCGCAACCCUUGUUCACUGUUGCCAGCACGUUAUGGUGGGGACUCAGUGGAGACCGCCGGGGUCAACUCGGAGGAAGGUGGGGAUGACGUCAAGUCAUCAUGCCCCUUAUGUCCGGGGCUUCACGCAUGCUACAAUGGCUGGUACAGAGAGUGGCGAGCCUGUGAGGGUGAGCGAAUCUCGGAAAGCCGGUCUCAGUUCGGAUUGGGGUCUGCAACUCGACCUCAUGAAGUCGGAGUCGCUAGUAAUCGCAGAUCAGCAACGCUGCGGUGAAUACGUUCCCGGGGCU
rnacentral:rRNA from 1 species